CACAACAGAAACAGAAAAAAAAAUCAUCAUCAUACAUCAUUUAUUGUACGGUUAAAGUAAAAAAGAAACAUUGAAAAUUAUUAUUUUCCCCGGUGCUAAAUAUUGCGAUCAAAGUGUCACUUGACUUUAAUACAACGACGAGUCAUCAUUGUCUAUUUUUGGCAUCCAAAUCUUUAGUUGGUUUGUUUCGGUUUUUUGUCGUUUGCCACAAAUAUUUAACAGAUAAUACAAACAACAAAAGGCGAAUAACAACAAAUACAAGAACCACAAAAUGACAAUUAAAUUCAAGGUCUUCAUUUUAAUUGUUUGUUUUUUAUUAAUUUCAUUAAAUGGAAUUUACGACUGUCAUGCAAGAACCAUCGAAUCAAUUAGUGACAGCGACAAUACUGUCCAGCCAACUGAUGAUCAUACCCCAGCAAAUCCUGUACGCAAUAAAUCAGUCAGUGUUUGGAGUCUUCUGUGGCAAAAAGCUCAACUGCGCUCAUUGUAGUCGUCUACAUGCGCCCACACCACUCAGAUGGAUGGAUGAAUGAUAAUCGGCUGUGUCUAGUGCUGAUAAGGUUGGUGUCGCUACAUGAAAACAAUGUUUUUUAUUUAAUCAAUUAAGAACAUUCCGAAAUAAAUUAAAUUAAGUUAUGAAAAGGGGAGAGUUAGGGACAUUUUAAAUCUAUUAUAAUGAAAUGCUUAAAUAAAUUUAAUAUCGAAUUUAGUUCUAUGUAAAAUAUAUUGGUUAGUAGUACAAUUAUACACUCUUAAAAAGUUAUGAAUAAAAAAAUGAUAAUGGAUAAAAUAAAUACAUAUAUAUAUGUACUGCACUUUAA